AUUAUGCAAGACUCUUCCCCUGAUUUUUUCUCUUCAAAGUUAUCUCAUAAGCUAGCUUUGCAGGCACAAUAAGAGAGUUAAAAUUGCUUUAUCAGGGUUAUGUCUCUGUUACCUCAUGUUGGUUCUUUGUCUUGCAGAACCCGGGCUGGUAAUCUGAUGUAUAGGAAAAGGACUUGAACUUGUGUCUUCUACAUCCCACGUGAAUGCCCUAACCCCUGAGCUGCAAAGACAUUCUCACACUUCAGCUGACCCAGUAACUAAUUAUUUACACAAAGAGGAGCAGCUUCAACAGGAGAGAUUGUGUCCCACUGGCAUACCCCACAGCCAACAACUAGUGCACACUCCAGAGAGAUCCUGCUUCUAUAGGAGUAUUGCAGCAGUCGAUGAGUGACCAAAUGGCAUUGACAACUUCAGAGAAGGGAGUUCUCUACUCUGAAAUGAGGAAGGACAUAGGAAAAAGAAAUGUGUAUGCCAAGGCUCAAAGUAGAUUGAGCUGCCCAGACUCUUAAGCCCAGACAAAAACAGAAUGGGUCUCAGCUGCAAGGGGCGAUGCUGGAAAGGUGGCUGAGUCUGAUUCCUGAAUGGCAAACAGAGAAUGCCCCAUGUCCACUUUGAGGUAUUGGAAAGAGUUGGGAUAGAAUGUCACCGAUCGUACCAGCAUUGUCUCCUUCCCCAUUCAAUGACCGGUCAAACUCCUCUGCAGACAGAUGACCUGUUAUCCUUCCCCAAGAUACACCAGCACCAUUUCCAUGAGUUGAUGGUGGCUGGCAAGAGCAGGUGGGUGGUUUCUAAAUGCUCUUCUUGAUAGAUGCUAUUCUACUUGACCUUUUUGAAGAGGAAAUGGUGAAGAGGAAACACUCUGAACCCGUUUCAUAGGGGAACGUGUAUUGUUUUUGCAAUGACAAUGGUUGAUUGUUCACUAAACUCUUUGCCAAAAAGUAACUUUGAUGGUUGGCUAUAUGUCUUGUCUGUCUGUUUUUCCAACACCGUGGACACAUUCAUCCUCCUGGUGGUUUCAUCUGUAGCAGAAAUGGAAAAAUCUGGUGUUCUUUUAGACAGCCCCCUGCUGGAACCCUAUAAAAGCACAGAAACUAAGGAAGUUUUCACAGCAUCUAGAGUUAGAGCUUGCUGUGAGAAACUGGCCAUAAACAUUAAAAAAAAUGAAAGCAAAA